CCUACGGGAGGCAGCAGUGGGGAAUUUUGGACAAUGGGCGCAAGCCUGAUCCAGCCAUGCCGCGUGCGGGAAGAAGGCCUUCGGGUUGUAAACCGCUUUUGUCAGGGAAGAAAUCCCUUGAGCUAAUACCUCGGGGGGAUGACGGUACCUGAAGAAUAAGCACCGGCUAACUACGUGCCAGCAGCCGCGGUAAUACGUAGGGUGCAAGCGUUAAUCGGAAUUACUGGGCGUAAAGCGUGCGCAGGCGGUUAUGUAAGACAGGUGUGAAAUCCCCGGGCUUAACCUGGGAACUGCACUUGUGACUGCAUAGCUUGAGUGCGGCAGAGGGGGAUGGAAUUCCGCGUGUAGCAGUGAAAUGCGUAGAUAUGCGGAGGAACACCGAUGGCGAAGGCAAUCCCCUGGGCCUGCACUGACGCUCAUGCACGAAAGCGUGGGGAGCAAACAGGAUUAGAUACCCGUGGUAGUCCACGCCCUAAACGAUGUCAACUGGUUGUUGGACGGCUUGCUGUUCAGUAACGUAGCUAACGCGUGAGUUGACCGCCUGGGGAGUACGGCCGCGAAGGUUGAAACUUAAGUGAAUUGACGG
rnacentral:rRNA from 1 species